AGCGAACGCUGGCGGCAGGCCUAACACAUGCCAGUCGAACGAACCUUUCGGGGUUAGUGGCGGACGGGUGAGUAACACGUGGGAACGUGCCUUUAGGUUCGGAAUAACUCAGGGAAACUUGUGCUAAUACCGAAUGUGCCCUUCGGGGGAAAGAUUAAUCGCCUUUAGAGCGGCCCGCGUCUGAUUAGCUAGUUGGUUGAGGUAAUGGCUCACCAAGGCGACGAUCAGUAGCUGGUCUGAGAGGAUGAUCAGCCACAUUGGGACUGAGACACGGCCCAAACUCCUACGGGAGGCAGCAGUGGGGAAUCUUGCGCAAUGGGCGAGAGCCUGACGCAGCCAUGCCGCGUGAAUGAUGAAGGUCUUAGGAUUGUAAAAUUCUUUCACCGGGGACGAUAAUGACGGUACCCGGAGAAGAAGCCCCGGCUAACUUCGUG
rnacentral:rRNA from 1 species